UAAAAGCCGAGUACUCUACCGUUGAGUUAGCAACCCA
rnacentral:tRNA from 1 species